rnacentral:other from 1 species
CGUUCCCUGUGGUGUUCGAAAUAGGGCGAAAAACCCUUGGACCUAAUUACCUACUCGGGAAGUCAGAUUAUUUUGUUGGUGUGCAUGCUCUUUAGUUGAGAAGCCUAAUACAAAUUUCCGACCCCCACUUGAACCUCUCGGUUCAAGGUAGAAACCUGACUGCGGCACUAACGGGGAACGU